AUAAGGUAGCUCAAUCCCAGGUUGCCACCUCCAUUGUAGGUGCCUUAAGCCAAGGCACCACCACUACAGAAUUGUCAACGUUGUCUUCUUCUUUUUUGGUGUAAAGGAGGCAUAACGCCCAGAAACAAGAAGAAAAAAACCAGAUUGCACGCGGUCGAGAAGUGUCACUAAGGUCAUCAAGCAUAGUUGUGGCAGCUACAAUUGGAACUUCAUCAAAAAUCUGAUAUCCAAGCUCUUCUUGUUAUCUUCUUCGAUCUCAUCCUUCUUCUUCUUUUUUUUUUUUUUUCUUUUCAAAAUCAAAUAUGGGAUUUUGGUUCUAACCAAAUUAACAGAGCCCAGUUCUUCAAAUUUGUAAACAUGCAAAUCAAAAUAAAAGUUCAAAAACAAAAUGAUUCUUUAGGUUUCAGGUUUUCUUGUUGUAUGCUUCGUGUUUCUUUGACUCUGAUCCUUAUCGGAAAACUUGAAUAGCUCAAUUUUUUGUCUUCUGAAUUAUGAUUUUCAGUUGCGCUUUCUCUUUGGAUUUUCUUCUUCGAUUGGAAUAUUAUGUCCCAAAACAAAGUUGGAAUAUUAGGUACAAAAUCUCAUACCCAUCUUUCUAAACCAGACCCAAAUACAAGAGUGAAAAUCCAUGCGAUGAGUGAGUGGUUGGAAUUGAUUCUGACCAGUGAUAUGUAGCUGAGCAGGGCGUCAAAAUCAGAGACAUGGGUAGGCCAAGGAGUCUUCGCAGCAAAGCGGCCCACUUUGUAACUGAUAUCACUACUGGAUUGCUCAACCCCAUUUCUGACAAACCCUCCAAACCCUCUCCCUUCUCCUCUUCCUGAAGAUGUGGAUGGGUCCAGAGGAAGUCAAAAUGGAACAAUGAGUGAAGAGAGUCCAGCUAAUCCAGUUGAUGGGCCUGACACUUCUUCAUUUACUGCAUUUCUCUACUCACUGUUAUCGUCAUCCGGGUCGGGAGAUAAGAGCAAAAGUUCGGAUGAACAGGUUGAUGACCAAAUGGAUAAGAGCAACUCAUUAUCUGAUUCUGCAGUGAAAGCAAACAGUGGGAAGAGAAGCUUAUUUUCCAAGGGGGAACACACGCUUAGUAAGGCUAUGUACCAGGCUGCAAGAUUUGGUUGGUAUCGGAGUCAAGAGCGGAAGGGUAACUUUGACGUGAAAGGUGAUGAUGGGAAUGAUUCUGAGUUUACUAGAGUUGAGAUGAGGCAUAUGCAUAAAGCACAGAAGCCUGUGGCUUUGGUUCAUCUACCAGACGUCUCCGUACCUUCUUUACUUAAUGAGAAAAAUAGAAUUGCUCUUUACAGUUCACUCCCAGCGCUAGUUCAGGGAAGUCAAUGGUUGUUACUAUAUAGGUGGGGAAACUUGGAGUUUCAUAGUUAGAUCUCUUGAAAGUACAAUGAAUGACUUUCCUUUUGGAGUUUGUAAGUACAAGUCUUUCAUGUACAUAAAGAAUACAUAAGCACUGUGUGCAAGCAAUUUUGAUUAGAUAGUGAUUGUAAAGGCUAAUAGUUUCAAUGAUAUGUUUCUUAACACCCACCGGUUGGAAUAAACAUCCCAGUGGCCAGAGGCGUCUCCAAGCUUCUCGGAGCGACCUGGGUUUUUUCGAAACUUAGGUUUCGACUGGCGGCGUCGCACUCGGGCGGGGCGGCGAUCGUGGAGCGGUGACGUAUGGCGGCGACGCGGGGAUACUCAGCAUCGAUCGUGUGGGCGGCGAGAAGCUUCUGAUCCGGAGGCUUCAUGAUCGUGUUUGGCUUCGUUCCUAAACCAAAUCUGGCGAUCGCUGGGUGAACGGCGGUGGCAGAUUGACUCUUCGAUCUGACUUUGUUUGGGUGAUUGGGAUCAGAGCGGCGGUGGUGUUUUGAACUUUUGACUUUCAGGUCGGGGGCAGGUGCUGCAUCGGUCUCUAGGCGGCGUCUGGAGUCCAGGUUGGGCGGAUCUCUAAGCCAUCCAUGGCGGAGGAUCGUGGUCGACCUCCGGAUCGGUGAUGGGCUGCUGCCUCCGAUGGCUUGAGGCGGGUCGAUCUGGAGUGUGAAGGAAGGUUAGGGGCUCAGCGUCGAUCGGAAUGGAGUCUUCUGGGUUGAUGACGGCGACGAUAUUGGCUCAGGAGGCGACGGCGGUGCGCCGGACUGGUUUCAGGUCGCUUUCCGGUUCGGAUCCUUCGCUUCAGUAUGGGGCUUGGGUCAGACCCAGGGCAGUCGGCUUGUGGGCCGCUCUGGGGCGCUGGGCUGCUCUUUUCCUUUUUUACCUGCUUUCAAUAAAUUUCCUCAUUUUGUUCGGCCCUCGAUUGUAGCUGUUUGCUGGUUGAUGAGUGGCGAUGUACACUAGGAUGGUCUUUAGGAGUCAAUGCUUGUCAAUUCAGUGGCUCUGAUUUAGGGUCGGAUAGGUGUAGGAGUUUUUACUUUUUUUACUUUCUUUUUUCGUUUGUGUUUGGGUUUACUUUUAGUUUGCUCUGCUUUAUGCAGGCUACUUUCUGCAUUGAGUUGUAAUAUGAGGAAUUUUCGAAUUCCUCUAGCUUGAUCGAGUGAGGUCUUUAUAUUAAUGGAACACGAUUCUGUUCCCUUAAAAAAAAACAUCCCAGUGGCCACCAAAACUGAUGGCAAAUUGCAUUUCUUGAGAAUCAGAAAAUGACCUUCCUUGUUAAAGGAAAAGCA